AUUUAAGGUUAAAAACAGGGAUUUCUAUGAAAAUAAGCGAUAUUUAAGGUUAAAAACAGGGAUUUCUAUGAAAAUAAGCGAUAUUUAAGGGGAAAAACAGGGAUUUCUAUGAAAAUAAGCGAUAUUUUAGGGGAAAAACAGGGAUUUCUAUGAAAAUAAGCGAUAUUUAAGGUUAAAAACGGGGAUUUCUAUGAAAAUAAGCGAUAUUUAAGGGGAAAAACAGGGAUUUCUAUGAAAAUAAGCGAUAUUUAAGGUUAAAAACGGGGAUUUCUAUGAAAAUAAGCGAUAUUUAAGGGGAAAAACAGGGAUUUCUAUGAAAAUAAGCGAUAUUUAAGGUUAAAAACGGGGAUUUCUAUGAAAAUAAGCGAUAUUUAAGGGGAAAAACAGGGAUUUCUAUGAAAAUAAGCGAUAUUUAAGGUUAAAAACAGGGAUUUCUAUGAAAAUAAGCGAUAGUUUAGGGGAAAAACAGGGAUUUCUAUGAAAAUAAGCGAUAUUUAAGGUGAAAAACAGGGAUUUCUAUGAAAAUAAGCAAUAUUUUAGGGG